CACGCCGUAAACGAUGAGUGCUAGGUGUUGGGGCCGACAGGUCUCGGUGCCGAAGUCAACACAUUAAGCACUCCACCUGGGGAGUACGAUCGCAAGAUUGAAACUCAAAGGAAUUGACGGGGGCCCGCACAAGCGGUGGAGCAUGUGGUUUAAUUCGAAGCAACGCGAAGAACCUUACCAAGGCUUGACAUCCCGCUGACAGAUGUAGAGAUACAUCCUCCCUUCGGGGCAGUGGUGACAGGUGG
rnacentral:rRNA from 1 species